GGUUAAGCGACUAAGCGUACACGGUGGAUGCCCUGGCAGUCAGAGGCGAUGAAGGACGUGCUAAUCUGCGAUAAGCGUCGGUAAGGUGAUAUGAACCGUUAUAACCGGCGAUUUCCGAAUGGGGAAACCCAGUGUGUUUCGACACACUAUCAUUAACUGAAUCCAUAGGUUAAUGAGGCGAACCGGGGGAACUGAAACAUCUAAGUACCCCGAGGAAAAGAAAUCAACCGAGAUUCCCCCAGUAGCGGCGAGCGAACGGGGAGCAGCCCAGAGCCUGAAUCAGUAUGUGUGUUAGUGGAAGCGUCUGGAAAGGCGCGCGAUACAGGGUGACAGCCCCGUACACAAAAAUGCACAUGCUGUGAGCUCGAUGAGUAGGGCGGGACACGUGGUAUCCUGUCUGAAUAUGGGGGGACCAUCCUCCAAGGCUAAAUACUCCUGACUGACCGAUAGUGAACCAGUACCGUGAGGGAAAGGCGAAAAGAACCCCGGCGAGGGGAGUGAAAAAGAACCUGAAACCGUGUACGUACAAGCAGUGGGAGCACGCUUAGGCGUGUGACUGCGUACCUUUUGUAUAAUGGGUCAGCGACUUAUAUUCUGUAGCAAGGUUAACCGAAUAGGGGAGCCGAAGGGAAACCGAGUCUUAACUGGGCGUUAAGUUGCAGGGUAUAGACCCGAAACCCGGUGAUCUAGCCAUGGGCAGGUUGAAGGUUGGGUAACACUAACUGGAGGACCGAACCGACUAAUGUUGAAAAAUUAGCGGAUGACUUGUGGCUGGGGGUGAAAGGCCAAUCAAACCGGGAGAUAGCUGGUUCUCCCCGAAAGCUAUUUAGGUAGCGCCUCGUGAAUUCAUCUCCGGGGGUAGAGCACUGUUUCGGCAAGGGGGUCAUCCCGACUUACCAACCCGAUGCAAACUGCGAAUACCGGAGAAUGUUAUCACGGGAGACACACGGCGGGUGCUAACGUCCGUCGUGAAGAGGGAAACAACCCAGACCGCCAGCUAAGGUCCCAAAGUCAUGGUUAAGUGGGAAACGAUGUGGGAAGGCCCAGACAGCCAGGAUGUUGGCUUAGAAGCAGCCAUCAUUUAAAGAAAGCGUAAUAGCUCACUGGUCGAGUCGGCCUGCGCGGAAGAUGUAACGGGGCUAAACCAUGCACCGAAGCUGCGGCAGCGACACUAUGUGUUGUUGGGUAGGGGAGCGU
rnacentral:rRNA from 1 species